rnacentral:rRNA from 1 species
GGUUAAGCGACUAAGCGUACACGGUGGAUGCCCUGGCAGUCAGAGGCGAUGAAGGACGUGCUAAUCUGCGAUAAGCGUCGGUAAGGUGAUAUGAACCGUUAUAACCGGCGAUUUCCGAAUGGGGAAACCCAGUGUGUUUCGACACACUAUCAUUAACUGAAUCCAUAGGUUAAUGAGGCGAACCGGGGGAACUGAAACAUCUAAGUACCCCGAGGAAAAGAAAUCAACCGAGAUUCCCCCAGUAGCGGCGAGCGAACGGGGAGGAGCCCAGAGUCUGAAUCAGUGUGUGUGUUAGUGGAAGCGUCUGGAAAGGCGCGCGAUACAGGGUGACAGCCCCGUACACAAAAAUGCACAUACUGUGAGCUCGAUGAGUAGGGCGGGACACGUGGUAUCCUGUCUGAAUAUGGGGGGACCAUCCUCCAAGGCUAAAUACUCCUGACUGACCGAUAGUGAACCAGUACCGUGAGGGAAAGGCGAAAAGAACCCCGGCGAGGGGAGUGAAAAAGAACCUGAAACCGUGUACGUACAAGCAGUGGGAGCCUCUUUUAUGGGGUGACUGCGUACCUUUUGUAUAAUGGGUCAGCGACUUAUAUUCUGUAGCAAGGUUAACCGAAUAGGGGAGCCGAAGGGAAACCGAGUCUUAACUGGGCGUUAAGUUGCAGGGUAUAGACCCGAAACCCGGUGAUCUAGCCAUGGGCAGGUUGAAGGUUGGGUAACACUAACUGGAGGACCGAACCGACUAAUGUUGAAAAAUUAGCGGAUGACUUGUGGCUGGGGGUGAAAGGCCAAUCAAACCGGGAGAUAGCUGGUUCUCCCCGAAAGCUAUUUAGGUAGCGCCUCGUGAAUUCAUCUCCGGGGGUAGAGCACUGUUUCGGCAAGGGGGUCAUCCCGACUUACCAACCCGAUGCAAACUGCGAAUACCGGAGAAUGUUAUCACGGGAGACACACGGCGGGUGCUAACGUCCGUCGUGAAGAGGGAAACAACCCAGACCGCCAGCUAAGGUCCCAAAGUCAUGGUUAAGUGGGAAACGAUGUGGGAAGGCCCAGACAGCCAGGAUGUUGGCUUAGAAGCAGCCAUCAUUUAAAGAAAGCGUAAUAGCUCACUGGUCGAGUCGGCCUGCGCGGAAGAUGUAACGGGGCUAAACCAUGCACCGAAGCUGCGGCAGCGACGCUUAUGCGUUGUUGGGUAGGGGAGCGUUCUGUAAGCCUGCGAAGGUGUGCUGUGAGGCAUGCUGGAGGUAUCAGAAGUGCGAAUGCUGACAUAAGUAACGAUAAAGCGGGUGAAAAGCCCGCUCGCCGGAAGACCAAGGGUUCCUGUCCAACGUUAAUCGGGGCAGGGUGAGUCGACCCCUAAGGCGAGGCUGAAAGGCGUAGUCGAUGGGAAACAGGUUAAUAUUCCUGUACUUGGUGUUACUGCGAAGGGGGGACGGAGAAGGCUAUGUUGGCCGGGCGACGGUUGUCCCGGUUUAAGCGUGUAGGCUGGUUUUCCAGGCAAAUCCGGAAAAUCAAGGCUGAGGCGUGAUGACGAGGCACUACGGUGCUGAAGCAACAAAUGCCAUGCUUCCAGGAAAAGCCUCUAAGCAUCAGGUAACAUCAAAUCGUACCCCAAACCGACACAGGUGGUCAGGUAGAGAAUACCAAGGCGCUUGAGAGAACUCGGGUGAAGGAACUAGGCAAAAUGGUGCCGUAACUUCGGGAGAAGGCACGCUGAUAUGUAGGUGAAGCGACUUGCUCGUGGAGCUGAAAUCAGUCGAAGAUACCAGCUGGCUGCAACUGUUUAUUAAAAACACAGCACUGUGCAAACACGAAAGUGGACGUAUACGGUGUGACGCCUGCCCGGUGCCGGAAGGUUAAUUGAUGGGGUCAGCGCAAGCGAAGCUCUUGAUCGAAGCCCCGGUAAACGGCGGCCGUAACUAUAACGGUCCUAAGGUAGCGAAAUUCCUUGUCGGGUAAGUUCCGACCUGCACGAAUGGCGUAAUGAUGGCCAGGCUGUCUCCACCCGAGACUCAGUGAAAUUGAACUCGCUGUGAAGAUGCAGUGUACCCGCGGCAAGACGGAAAGACCCCGUGAACCUUUACUAUAGCUUGACACUGAACAUUGAGCCUUGAUGUGUAGGAUAGGUGGGAGGCUUAGAAGUGUGGACGCCAGUCUGCAUGGAGCCGACCUUGAAAUACCACCCUUUAAUGUUUGAUGUUCUAACGUUGACCCGUAAUCCGGGUUGCGGACAGUGUCUGGUGGGUAGUUUGACUGGGGCGGUCUCCUCCUAAAGAGUAACGGAGGAGCACGAAGGUUGGCUAAUCCUGGUCGGACAUCAGGAGGUUAGUGCAAUGGCAUAAGCCAGCUUGACUGCGAGCGUGACGGCGCGAGCAGGUGCGAAAGCAGGUCAUAGUGAUCCGGUGGUUCUGAAUGGAAGGGCCAUCGCUCAACGGAUAAAAGGUACUCCGGGGAUAACAGGCUGAUACCGCCCAAGAGUUCAUAUCGACGGCGGUGUUUGGCACCUCGAUGUCGGCUCAUCACAUCCUGGGGCUGAAGUAGGUCCCAAGGGUAUGGCUGUUCGCCAUUUAAAGUGGUACGCGAGCUGGGUUUAGAACGUCGUGAGACAGUUCGGUCCCUAUCUGCCGUGGGCGCUGGAGAACUGAGGGGGGCUGCUCCUAGUACGAGAGGACCGGAGUGGACGCAUCACUGGUGUUCGGGUUGUCAUGCCAAUGGCACUGCCCGGUAGCUAAAUGCGGAAGAGAUAAGUGCUGAAAGCAUCUAAGCACGAAACUUGCCCCGAGAUGAGUUCUCCCUGACCCUUUAAGGGUCCUGAAGGAACGUUGAAGACGACGACGUUGAUAGGCCGGGUGUGUAAGCGCAGCGAUGCGUUGAGCUAACCGGUACUAAUGAACCGUGAGGCUUAACCUU